rnacentral:rRNA from 1 species
AUUAUUUGACGUUAGCGACAGAAGAAGCACCGGCUAACUCCGUGCCAGCAGCCGCGGUAAUACGGAGGGUGCGAGCGUUAAUCGGAAUUACUGGGCGUAAAGCGCAUGCAGGUGGUUUGUUAAGUCAGAUGUGAAAGCCCCGGGGCUCAACCUCGGAAUUGCAUUUGAAACUGGCAGACUAGAGUACUGUAGAGGGGGUAGAAUUUCAGGUGUAGCGGUGAAAUGCGUAGAGAUCUGAAGGAAUACCGGUGGCGAAGGCGGCCCCCUGGACAGAUACUGACACUCAGAUGCGAAAGCGUGGGGAGCAAACAGGAUUAGAUACCCUGGUAG